UACGAAGGGGGCUAGCGUUGUUCGGAAUUACUGGGCGUAAAGGGCGCGUAGGCGGUGUGUCAAGUCAGGCGUGAAAGCCCCGGGCUCAACCUGGGAACCGCGCUUGAGACUGGCACGCUAGAGUUCGGGAGAGGAUGGUGGAAUUCCCAGUGAUAGAGGUGAAAUUCGUAGAUAUUGGGAAGAACACCGAUGGCGAAGGCAGCCAUCUGGACCGACACUGACGCUGAGGCGCGGAAAGCGUGGGGAGCAAACAGG
rnacentral:rRNA from 1 species